CCACCCUUCUUGGUCGACUUUUGUGUUGUCUGACCUUUACAAGUCGCUCCUUUGUGCUCCAAAGUCGGCCAAAGUCGCCGUGAACAUCAUCCCCCUCGCCGACUUCUCCUAAAUCCACUAAUUUCCACCUUUUUUACAUUUUUCCUACCCCACAUGCCACAUGGCACAAGUCGCCUCAAUCUACAAAAUCCACUCAUUUCCACCUUUUUUUUAAGGGGCGACUCUUCUUACACCACAUGACACAUGGCGCAAGUUGCCCCUCCCUCCCUUUCUUACCACUCCUCUUAGUCUUAUCCAAUUUGGGGCAACUCUUGACAUGUCAUUAAACGGGUAACCCUUUAAAAAUGGGAUGGAGAUUUCUCAAAGUUCAAAAUAAUUUGAGGGGUUAAGUUGAAUCAAUCUCAACAUUUGGAUUAAAAACAAAAGUCAUGAUUCAAAGUUAAUCUUUUAAUCUUGACCAUUGACUUUGGAGUUAAUUACAAAUUUGGUACCUGAACUAUCCAUCAUAUUGCACGUUUCAUAGCCAUGGUUUAUUUAUUACACCAGGCAUACCCAAACUUACCAAUUUGUCACUCUGAUCAUACCAAGUCGAAACAAACGUUUUGUUUGGUGUUAAGUGCUCCCACGUAACUUGCACGAGAGGGCUACUUUUGUCCUUUCCCACCUAAAAUCUGCUUUUGGAGAUAUAUCUCUUAAGCCUAACAACCCUUUUAGGAUUUCCCCAUUUUUCCUCUCUUUUCUCUUUCUUCUCCAAAUUAAGUUAGAUCUCAAAAGGAAUAAUAAUAACGGUGAAUUGUUGGUGUGGAAGAAAAGGAAUUGUUCGAAAAUCAUGGACCGAUGUGAAUCCUGGACGUCGAUUUUAUUGUUGUCCACAAAAGGGCUCGAAUUUUAGCUUCAUUGGUUGGGUUGAUCUGACAAUGUGCCCUCGUGUUGUGGAUAUCAUACCUGGUUUAUUGCGGUCAAAGAACAUUGUGGAUGCCAAACUAAAAUAAAGUGAAGAUGAAAAUAGAAGAUUGAAGAUGUAAUUGUCAGUUGGGUUGUUUUUUUAGUUGUUUUUCUUUUGAUUGUAUUUUAAGGAAUUGUAAAGGUAUUUGGCAGUCAAUGGUUAAUGUAUGUACAAUGUUGUUGUUGUCUUUUGUUGAUGUAUUUGGUACAAUGUUUUGAUGAUUAAUGAAGAAAGUUAUCGA